CUUUCACUUUCCUCAGCAUCACAGAACAUCCAGAAACAACAGAGAAUCUUCUGAAUGUUGUUGAUUGCAGCAGACAGUAAAACAAAUGCAGCUCAGCAGCCUUCAGACUGAAACGAGAUGCUGCAGAGGAAAACGUCUUUUCUGAAAAUGCACUGGGCUUCACAUUCACGUCUUUGUCCACAGCGAACACGGAGCAGAGAAUUUCCACCCAGUUUUUCUUUGUCACAGAAUAACAAAGGAAUAUUAUCUUCAGAAGAGCUCUGAUCACUUCAGGAUGUUUGCUGUCCACCAACUGAAACCUAAGAAAGAGAAUCCUGGGACUCUAACAACAACAACAUCCAUCCAUUCUCUUCCACUUAUCCCUGUCAGGGUUGCUGGAGCCUAUCAGGGUACACUGUGGACAGCUCGCCAGCCUGACGCAGGGCUAACACAUACAGAAAAUCAUUCACACUCACAGUCAGCUCUAUGGGCAUUUUAGAUUCUCCAAUUAACCUAGCCCCACUAAUUGCAUGUCUUUAAACUGUGGAACGAAGCUGGACAAAGAAACCAUUAUGGCUGAGAAGACAAACAAAGAAACAGGAGGGCAACUGGAAGUACAAAGAACUUAGCAAAAACCUGAACUGGGAAAAGCUAAGAAAAGCACAUCACAAGAGGCUGGAAAACAGAGACACAGGGAAACAGGCAGAAGGACCGCAGGGGCAACGUGGAGGAUGAUCACACAGACGGACUGACAAGGAACAGAGGAAAGCACAGACUGUUGCUGUGUCCAAAU